UUUUGUCCUCAGGGACAGAAACAUGCAUAGUGGAGUUAUUUGAAAGUGGGAGAUGGAAAAACCAAAAAUCGAAAAACUCAGAUGCCCCGUGCUAACAUUUGUGGAGCGCUCACACUGUUUGAAAUGCUGAACGUGAUUACUCUUUAAUCCUUACAGCCGCUCUGCAUCUGUGUGUUUAUGAGGCCCUGAGUCAGCCCUUCCCCCGAGGUCCCUCAGGAGGUGAGCGGCAGGGCUGAGGGCUGAACCCAGGCGGCACCACCUCAAACUCGAUGGCAGUGGGGGGUCUCCGCCCCACGCAGUUGCUCGGUAACAUGAAGGCAGAAUUGCCCACCAGAGAGAGGGUGACCUGCAGCUCCGUGGGGUGUGCGGUCACCAGGGUGCGGCCUGGAGACAAAAGGGCUCCUUUGUGCUUCUGCCUGGCGGUAAACACCAGCCACUGCCCGGCAGGCAUGCCCCAGCCUGCGGCUCUGGAAUGUGGGCGAGCCACCAUCCUGACGACCGGCCACUGGUGGCUGGUCUCGAGGUGGCCAGGCCCGGCCUGCAGACCCAGCCACCCGCGCUCUGUGUGUGCCCGAGGAAGGAGCCCAGCCCUUCACACCGCCUCGAUGGACGCUGAGCAGUUGAAGUGAUGCCCAGAACCCCAGUGUCCGCUCUGGGCAGAAGCACCGGUGGCCUCGAGGGUGGAAGUGCUGGAAGGAUGGCGACAGCUCCAGGCAGCUGCGGCUUCAAGGAGGCUGAGACUGUGGAGAUGCUCUGCCUCCUGAGAAGGGGACGGGAGGGGACACAUCCUGGUGGCACGUCCGAGGCUGGUUUUAGCCUGGUGCCUGCGUCUUUACAGCCGGUCCCCCAGCUGCUCAGCCCCUGCUUAGCAGAGCGAGGGCAGGGCUCCGGCUCCGAGCCGCGGGCAGGCAGCGGCGUUUACUGCGUGACUUAUCUCCCACGUGCUCGUUUUCGGAGUCGUCUUCUCUUGGUGGCAGUGACACUCCUUUUCCAUUUACAUGGAUCACAGAGAAUUUUCUUUUAAAAUAAACUUAAGUAAAAAAAAAUAAGGUGAGUCAUUUUGAAUAAAAAUAUGAAGCAAAUGGUAGAUGGAUGGAGAUGGUCGGAGUCAUAGAGGUGGCCCCCAAGGGUCUGGAGUUUGGGAUUCGCAGACAAGGGCCUUCCUGGGUCCCUGGCAAGACGGGCUGGGCAGGCAAACGCCCGGAGGUGCGGGUCUCACCAGCCCCUCGCCCGGCGCUCCUCUGUCCCCACGUCCCGGUAGCUGAUUCUUAGUCUCUGGGACCUUUGGCCUCCUCUCCCUUUCUCCCCUCUCUCUCUUCUUCCCUCCUUCUCCGUGUCCCCAAGUCACGUCCGGGGAAGCAUCCUACAGAUCCAGCGCAACCCUUUGGCUGCCCUCUUGGUCUGAGGGCUUCCUUUUGGGGAGGGGGGUGCCCCGGGUGUCAGCUCUCACUGCCCCGUUCUCCUCUCCUUUGUUCGUCCAAUCAAUGCACCAGUUUCCACAAGGUGCCCUGGCUGACCCCACCCGGCCAAUGAAAUGAGCCUCGCCGACGGGCCUGGCGGGAACCGGUGCGUCUGAGGGCUCCCUGGGUGACUCCGGUGAGCGUCGCGGCGGGAACCUGGCCUGCAGCCUCCUCCCUCAAACUCAUUCGUCCCUCUCCCCGUCAACUUGGCCGCCCCCCCGACCCUGCCCAGUGGCGCAGACCUGUCGUUCUCCAGCCGGAUCUUCCCCGCCUGGGCCGUCUGGUUAAAAUGCAGGCUCUGGUGCCAGUCAGGGGGCCUGAGGUCCUGCAUCUCCAACCCACGUUGCUGACGCUGCCAGGAUCUCAUGCUCGGAUCGGUCGGGGUGUAGACGAACUUUCUGUCUGGACAGACGGUAAGUACCCUCAGUUUUGUGGGCCAUCCCGUUUCUGUUGAAAUGACUCAGCUCUGUGGUCAUGGCACCGAAGCAGCCCUCAACUGUACACACACGGCUGGGUGCCCACGAAGCUUCAUUUACGAAUUCAGGUGUUGGGCGGGUUUGGCGCUAGUUUGCCGACCCCUGGUGUAGACCAUGUUCUCUGUGGUCGGCCUUGGUGGACACCACCGCUCACCCCUCAGGAGCCCUCUGCGGCAGACCGUUAUCUUCCUCUCUGUGCCGCCGAGGAGUGGGCUGAGGCUCAGAGAGGGUCAGCCAUUUGUCCCAGGUCACACAGCCAGCAAGUGCCAAAGUUGGGACUGAAACCCAGCUCUUCUGGUUGCAAAGCCCGUAUGGCCUGGCCACAGCGAGUCACCAAAGCCCUUUGAGCCUCAGUUUCCCCACAGGCUGUCUCGAGAAGGCACUCUUCAGACUCUCUCUGCAGCAGUCACUGCCUCCCAGGGUCAGUGGGAGGUUAAAUACGGUAGUGAUUGGCACACAAGUGCUAGGAGGUUUUUCAUUCAUUCAGUGAGUGUUAGUUUGCUUGCUGAGAUGGUGACAGGAAAGGGAACUAGACAGAGGCCUCCCAUGGGGCCUGUGGGUCGUGGCCUUCCUCGUAAUUCUCCAGGGCCCCCCGAAGGAGGCCUCCUGAGCAGGUGCAGGGUGCCUUCCUGCCUCCCUCUGGGGGUCUGGCUCCCGUCGUCCUGGCCAGGGCUCUCCCCUGGACACAGCCUGCUUCCCCCCCGAUCCCCGUGGUCUGACUGCACGCACUUUCAGUCUCAGGUCGGCGUUUGUCAGCUCCGCCUAGGCCCUCCUGACAACACUCUCCUGCAGGGAGCCUGGCAUCUCUGUCAGUCUGGGGGUCAUUUUGGCGUGGCUGGACAGGCGAUGGAGAGCACGGAAGCCAUGCUCCUGUCCCCUGACUAUAACUCUUUUUUGUGUUCACGAAGGACCCUGGUCUCCCCCAUGCUUCUGUUCAGUCACCUUAGUGUGUUAGUUUUUAGUCCUUUUUACCAGUUGCUUCCUGAUCACAAAAUGGCUGCCACUGCUCCAGCCUCUUGACCUCACAGCAGCAGCACAAGCAGGACAGCAGGGAGAAAGCUUACAUCUCAUUGACUAGAACUGGGUCACGUCGCUGCUACUAGCUGCAAAGGAGGCUGAGAAGGCAAGAAUCUGGCAGAGGGCAAUGGGGCGGCUGUGACUAGACCAGUCGUGAUUCGUCCCCAGGUGCAGGGGAUGUUGCUGGUCCAACCAAACUGAUGUUUUGCUAGCAAGGAAGAAAUGGGGAGUGGCUUUCGAGAGGGCAGCCCAGAGUGAGUGUGACAGGGGCCAGAGAGGUUGGAGAGCAGAGUGUGAGGGAAUCAUGGUGGUGGAGAGGCUGGAGGCCAGGCCCCACGGGGCCUCACGGACCAUCCUAGGGUUGUUUGUAUCUCAAGGGCAAUGGGGAGCCAUUGAAGAGUUUGGGGCCAAGGCAGGUAGCAUGAGAGGAUUUGUGUGUCCAAGAGAAGUGACUCGGAUGGUGGUCCUGAGUCCUCUGAGGGGGCUGCCCGUGCCCCGAAUGGCUUCACAAAGGAAGCUCCGGAUGAUGGAGCCUAACCCCAGACCUCGGAGACUCCAGGAAACCAUCCAAGCCAGGCCUCUGGCGGCAGAGACCUGUCUCCAUGCCUGGGCCGAGGCGGGAGCCACCAGACACGCCUCCCUCCUGCAGGGAUCCCGUGUCCUCACGGGGGCCCAGGUCCCAGGACUGGCCAGACGAGCCAACGCUGCGGGAUUUGAGGACAGGCGCGGGGACCCGUCCCUCUGUCUGGAGCUUAGCAGGGAGCCAGGGGUGAGAGGAUGACCCUGCGGUGACGAUGGUCCUUGCCAGCCGGCCAGGCACUGGGCUGAACUCGCCGUGCGUCAUCCUUCAGUCGCCAUGACGACUGUGGGAUGCGGCUUAGGGAGCCAGUGUCAUGGUCACCGGGAGUCACCCCGUCCGGGCCCUGGGGAAGAACUCCUGGGGUGUGAACUCGCUUAGUGCUCGCAAGAGCCCAGAACCCUCUCCAACUCCCCGCUCCCUUCCCCCUCUGCCCCCGCCAUAUCCCAUCCGUCAGCUUGACUUGGAAAGUAUCUCCAGAAUCAGACCUUCCCCUCCUGCCCUGCUCCCAGCCUGGGCCCAGCCAUGCUCGCCUCCUGUCGGAUCAUUGCGUCCUCCCUCACACAGUGAGACAGAUCCUUUAAAACCUUCACUGCGAUCCUGUCCUCACUCUGCUUGAAACCCUCCAGCGGCUUCUCAUCCCCUGCACAACCAGAGCCCUGCCCACCUCUGCAUGCCUGCCUCCUACCACUUCUUCUGCUCCAGCCUUUCCAACCUCAUCCUGCCUCAGGGCCUUUGCACUGGCUGUUCCCUCGAACAGGCUGUUCCCUCAGGCCCAAAGUGCUCUUCUCCCUGAAAUCAGAACAGCUUGCUCCCUCUUUUCAUUCGGGUUCUGCUCAAAUGCCCUCUCCUCGAAGGUAGCAGGCUCCCUCCUCGUUAAAGGGGACCGCCCCCCUCACGCUCUGUUCCCUCCCCCAACAGAGGGCUAUGUUUUGGGUCUUUGUGCUCCCACCCAGAAUAUAGACUCCAGGCAGGGAUUUCUGUGGGUUCUGUUCUCUGCCGUAUCUUCAGCGUCUAGAUCAGUGUCUGCCCAGUGUAGGAGCCUAACAGAAAUUUCUUAGGUAAACGACCAACCUGCGAGGUGGGUACUGUUGUCAUCCCCACGUGGUAGGUGCAGAACAGACCCAGACAGGUCCGGCAACUUGCCCAGGGCCAAGGGACCUUCAGGCCAGGGAGCCUAGAGUUGGGCCCUCAGGGGCUGACCCCAGAGCCCUUGCAUGCCACCCCUGCAGGGCGCUGUCUCCUGUGUUACGCAUGGGCCUGAAGCAGGUGGUUCUGGGCUCAAAUCCUUGCUCUACAGUUCCCAGCUGUGUGACCUGGGGCAGCUGUCUCAAACUCUCUGGGCUCUGCUCCUUGUCUGCACAGAGUGAGCAGCCCUUCCUGCCGAGGGUGCACAGCUCUGAACAGAGCUUGGCAUCCGCGAAGCUGGGCUAUGGCUGCCUAUCGUGGCUCUCCCAUUUAGGAGGCGGGGCGACUGGGGCCCAGAAGAUGCUUGAGGUCACAGGCCUCCGGAUUGGAGGGCAGGUCCGGCCACUCCCUCGCCCCACCCCCCAGCGGCAGCCCCACCCUCCCUCGGUCCUGCCAGCGGUCAUUGGCCUUGACAGAGGGGGCUGCCCUGUGCUUUCCCCUGGCCUCUCCUGGUUGGGGUGGAGGGGGUAUGGGUCAAGGAAGGGCUCCGGCCAGCCACUCCCCUCUCCCAGCUCCUGGUGGCGCUGGGCCACCUGCAGGGCGAGCCACUAACUGUCCUGGUCGCCCGGAGGCAGGACCCUCGGGGCUAAAACCAGGAGAGGCCCAGGCAGACCCAAGUAGGUUGGUGUUUGUGAGGUUGGAUGAAGUGACAAAGACGGAUGAGUCAGGACACUAGCAGGACUCGGAGACUGGCGGCCCUGCCGAUGGUGACCCCCCCUGGGCGCCCCUCCAUGCCCCUCGUCCUCCCUGCACCCUCGGGCCCCCCCUGGGUGUGGUGGGUACCAGAUCAGGAAGCCGAGGCCCGGGAGGGUCGGUCCCAGCCCGGUCGCCCCGAGCUUCUGACCCGGACCUGCGUCCCUCUCCCAGGCCCAGUGCCCGCGCGCCCUCCGCUCGCUCCCGCAGAGCUGCCAGUCACAUGCCCCGGGGGAGGGCGGGUGGGUGACUCCCCGCGCUGGAGGCUCCAGCACACUCUCAGCACCGUCAGAUAGGCCCCUGCCAGGCUCCUACAGGAACGCGGGGCCUCAGCGCCAGUGCCCAGCCCCCCGCUGGGGACAACCCCUCCAGGAGGGCGGGCGGGUGGCCACCGCCUCUCCUCGGCCAUAUAUGGACAGGAGCCGGGACCCUGCAGCCCGGUGGCGAUCAGGGCUGCCACCACCUCGGCCGACCCGGCAUCUCGGGCUCCCUGGGGCCGCAGCCUUGGCCGUAGGGCAGGGCUGGCGAGGAGGCUGGGGACAGGCGAGCUGCGGGCGGCGGAGGCUCGGCGGCGUGGGCCUCCCGGUCCCAGGAGCUCCGGCCAGGCAGCGGGCGCGGGCUCUGACCAAAUAAGGCCUGGCCCACGGGCCUGCGGCCUCCCCUCCUCCCAGCCCAGCCAGCCGCCUGGACGCUGGCCCUGUGGCUCGAAGGGGAGUCCCCCUGAGAAGCACCCCCAGGAGAGGAGCCUCCGUUUAGAACUUCUGGAAUGUUCCAUUUGGAACCUUCAGAAGGCUCCAUCUACAAUCUUGAGAGAAGGCCAGGUGCAGACAGAUUCCGGGAACUCCCACAGCCCCACGGGAGCCCCAGCCAGCCCCAGGGCACCAGCCGCAUCCAUCCCCGCUGUGAGCACACCCACCCCAGUCCCCAUGCCCCGGGGGGUUCUGCUCUUGGACUCCGUUGGCAGGUCCCAGGCACACUGGUCAGACCCUUGCCGGCGCCUGGGCUGUGGGGUCGAGGGCAAGGCUGGCCGAGGGAGGGGCCCUGGGCUCUCGAGAUCACUGGGGGCCCCUGGGCAGUGACCUGUCCCCACCUGUGCCUGUGAGCCGGUGAGUGACCUGUCCCCACCUGUCCCUGUGAGGGCCAGUGUGAGCCCUGGAGGGAGGACGUGCCCCUCUGAACCAGCUGGAGCCCCACCUGGGGAGCAAACCCCUGCAGGUGAGGAACAGGAGGGGGCAAGCCCACGGGGGGCCAGGGCGAGGUGGGCUGAGGCUUGUCACAUGUCAGGAGCCUCUGAGGGGCUUGGAGCUCCCGGGUCUGCCUGCCUUCGUGCCUUGGUUCCAGCGGGCGACUUUGCUUCCUGGAGCCUCAGUUUUGCCAUCCUUAAAAUAGGCGUAACACAGACCUGAGCUCGGGGACGGCUGCGGGGACCCCGCGGGUACAGUGCGGAGGGCCCUGCAGAGAGCUAUGGGAGGACUAAGCGGGAUCCCGGGCGAGGGGGGCACCCCUGGUUUCCAGGGAGACUGGGGGAGGUAGGGGUGCUCCCUUGGCCCCAACACCCCCUCCAGGCUUUUCUCGGCCCUCCCUGCUUUCUCCUCAGCCUAGCGGUGCUGGGGUGGCAUUUCGAGGUCUCCCGAGCCACCCGCACAGCAGGAAGCUUGUGGCCAGGGUGACAGCUGUCAUACAUGUAAACAUGCAUGUGUGUGCAUGUGCAGGGGCACCCGUGAGGCCCCGUGAGCACAGCCGUGCGAGGUGAGCACGUGCAGGAGUGAGUGCCCGGGCCCUGGUGUGGGAGUCGGGACGUGGGGCUAUUUGCGGUUUCUGCUGCUGCCCGUUUCUGAAGGCUUUUCAGGAGUUCUAGGAUCUCAGGGGUGGGGCAGAAUUAGGGCCCCCGUGCAAAAGGGGAAUGUGUGACCCCACGUUCAAAACGUACCAAGACUGUGAAGACGGCCACAGCAGGGCAUUAAACCGAGGUUGGGGCCUCCUGAGUGUGGGGGCCCAGUGCGAGCCCCCGGGCCCUUCCCGCUCCCUGGGGCGUGGGGGUGUGUGUGACCUGGCCGGGCCCAUGGACACUCCAGCCCGCAGCGGUGGUAGGACCCGCAGGAAGGGUCUGGAAAGUCUAUGAAAGAGACACCCUGGUUCCCAUCUUGGGAGCAGCCGGGAGCCACGUGGGGACAGGACACACAGCCUAAGGCAAGUGUCUCCCAGCCUCUCUGUUGAAGCCCAGGGUCAGGGUCGUCCCUGCGGACCGGAGGCUGGCAAGCUGGCGCAGCGCCUGCUUUUAGCCAGCCUGGCAGGACGCUGUGGGCGGGGGGCCUGGGCAGAGCUGGGGAGCCUGGGGGUGGACGGCAGGACGGCCGAGGGCCCCAGGGCCUCUCCUCGGGACAGGAACAGGAGGCUGCCCCCUGGGGUUCCUGCAAGGGGCUUGGGGCUCCCCCGACAGCUGCGGCCUUGGACCCUGGCCCCAGGGGUGCACUCUGCUGGAAAGUUCUCUGCGGUCUCCAGAAGCACCCACCCAGGCGUGGGAACCUGCCCCGUGGAACUUGGGGCUGUUCUGCUGGAACCUCAGGGACUGGGUCCGAAGCUUGGGGACCCCACCUGGUCCCGAGCUCUGAGCGCCCUCAGGGUGGGGUGGGCCUGGCUCACGCGGAGGGGUCUCCCAGAGCCUGGCACAGCGCCGGCACAGCAGGGACACACAGCCUUCCUGUGGGGCUGGAGAAAAUGGACACGUCCAGCCAAUGCCAUCAGACCACGCGUCCGUGUCGCCAGAUGCCUCUGCUGGGGCUGCCAAGAUGGCAACCAGUGCACCGUCUGGCUUCGACGCUGCGUAUUAACGGGCAGCCUGGUGAUGCACGUCCGCCCGCCCAUGUUUCGAUGUGGGAAAAAGGUCUUUUCUCCGAGGGCCUGGGAGUCUGCGAUGGGCUUCCCCGGUCUCUCUUGCAUGAACCACAUGCCCAGUGCAUCUCUUGCCUUUUGCAGUUUCUGUUUCUUUAAAGUGGGGAGAGAAGGAAUAUGUUCCCAGAGACACCCAACUGGAGAGCUCCUGGGCAGACUUCAAUGCUCUAAGGUAAACUUGUCCUUUUGAUUAAUUAAUCAACAGAUUUAUUUGGCACAGACUGCAUGCCAGAGCCAGCGCUAGAUGCUGAGAAAGCAGAGGAAAAAUGAGCUGAGGGAAAUUCUGCCUGAGGUCUGUUUUUUGUUUUACCAGUGCAGAAACCAAGGCUCAGAGAGGUUAUGUGAGUUGCCUAAGGCCACACAGCACAUGCAUGACAGGCUUUGACCUGCAAGGAUGCUGACUGUGGAAGUCGGCUAGAAGAGAUGUGAGAAUGAGGCGUCGCUGGUGGUUAAGACUCAGGCUUCGGUGCCAGUGAAAUGGUUCAAAUCCCACCACUGGGACCUUGGUGGGACCUGUCACUCCCCCAAGCCUGGCUUCCCUCAACCUGCAAGGGUUGUAUUCUGCCACAUGCCGGCCCACCUCUCAGAGCCUCAGUUUCUCAUCUGUAAAGUGGGAACAACAGGAGUCCCGCUCGUUCCUUCAGUCCCUCAGCGAUGCUCAUCGAGCAGCACUGUGUGACGCGCCAGGCUUGGUGCUGGGAUGCAGCGUGAACCGGAAGCCCGCGGGUGAGGGGUUGACUGGGGAGCUGGAGGGUGCCCGGCCAGGCUCCCUCUGCGAGCCAGGUGCGGCUGGAGCAGGGCAGCAGGCCGCGCCGAGGUGGAAUUCAGCGCAACAGGCCCCAGCUCAUCGUCUGUCUUCAGCCUGCGGGGGCCAGGUCGGGGUCUGAGAGGGGAAGGAGAGGCCUAGGGCCAGAAGCAGGGAGAGGGGCCAGGGAGAGGACGAGCGCGGGGCUGGCGUGGGGUCCUCACCAUCACCGUCAGCCUUCUCGGAAGAGGGGAGACGGGGCUCUCGCGGACUUGCCGGUGGCUCCGCUGAGCUCUUCACUGGCGCUGUCCUGCGGAAACAGCACCAUCCAGCAAGGCAGGGGCCCCAUCUGACAGAUGAGGAAACUGAGGCUCAUGGGGUGGAGUCACCUGCUUAAGAUCGCACAGCCUGGGAGGGUAGGGCGUGGGUCCUGUCCCUCCACGGCCCGCCCGAGCAUUAAUUACAGGGGUGAUGAAGGAGGAGAGAGAUGGGGGAUAGGAGGGAAAGGAGAGAGAGGUUUGACAAGGGGGAGGAGGAAGCGCCUCCUCCUGGGCCCGGCGUCAUCUUCCUCUCCGUCCUCCCCUGUCUGGGGGCUUGUGCUCCCAGGGGCUCAGGCUCGGCCACGCUCUCGGGCGUCUUGGGCCCGGCCGGGAGUCUCCUGGGCGUGCGGCGGCAGCUGUUGCCCCGCAGAUGGUGCCCCCGCCGCGGGGCUGCUGCUCCUCCCGGCCAGGGACCUGGCAUCUCCGGCAGCCUGGGAGGCUAUUUUUAAACCUUCCAGCUGGUUUUUAUCGUGGCCGCUGAUGUGUACGUGUCGAAACCGUGGGUUCGUUCUGCCAGCUCUCUGCACGGACUUCGCAAAUGAGGGGGGACAGUGCUGAUCUAGGUGGAGGCUGGGGGCACCCGAGGCUGCGGCCAGCGCUCGGUCCCUGCCUGGACUGUGGUAAGAGAAGGGGGUGAAAGGGCCCGAGCCAGGCAGGAGCUCCCAGGUGGAGAGAGCAGGCACUGGGCGUGCUCCCGGAAGACGAAGACUGAAGCGUGUGAGGGCAGAGUGGGACCAUCAGUGGCUUUGGACCCUUACACUCAUUUCCCCGCUGGGGGAUGGCAGAAUAUAGGGUUGAGCAUGAAUUCUGGAGUCAGACAAACCUGGGUUUGAAACUUACUCUACUCAACAGCUGUAUGAUUAUGGGUAUCAGUUAGCUACCACCGGGUGACAAAUGACCCCAAAGUUUAAAACAACAUGAUUCAGUGAGUUAAUUUAGCCUGAACCAUCAGCUCGAUGGUUCUUCUGGUCUGAGCUGGGGUCCCUCACGCUCUGCAGUUGCCUGCUGGGCCAGCUGGAGGCUCUGUUCUGGGGCGUGGCUAACGAUCAUCUAGGUGAGGGCACGGCUGGGUGACCUGUCGCUCCUUCUCUGCCAGGCUUGUUCUCCUGAUGGGGACAGGAGUCCGAGAGAGGGCAGAAGCACGCAAGGCUGUCAGGGGCAUGAGCUUAGAUUUGGCACAACAUCUCUGCCGGCAAGUCUGUUGGCCAAAGCGAAUUACAGGACCAGCUCAGAUCCAAGAGGUGGGAGGGGCACACGGCCUGUUGAUGGCUGCAGCCGCAGCCAAUGCUGCAAGGGCUCUGAGCACAGCGGAGAUGCAGAACUGGGGUCUCCCGGGCUCCCAGAGCCUCAGUUUCCUCAUUUGUAAUGUGAAUAAUAUGGCUGUUGUGCUGACUACAUAAGGAGAUGUACGUGAAGCCACGAGCACAGAGCCGGGUCGCGACUCCCUGAGGAGAAGGGUCACUUCCUGCCCCGCCCCGCCAUCCCCGUGAAACGCGCCCCAGAGGGUCAGCUGCUCCCUGGACAGACACCGUCUGAAAUGACGGCCUGUGGCUGUAAGGAGCCCACCAGGGCCAGGAGCCUCUUGGUGAGUAUUGCCCCCCCCUCCCCGGGGGCCGGCCUGACCAGGCACAAGGACUCACUGAUGACCGUCCGUCUGUCCCCCAGGCCAUGUUGUCUCAUCAACACCACCAAGCACAUUCACACACCCAUGCACACUCACACAUGUACCUUUACACACACACUCUGGCUCCCCCUCACGCUCUUGCAUGCACGUGUGUGCACGCUCACACUCACACGCACACAGCCUUCCUGGCUGAGUCCCGCCGCCUCGGUUGGUGCGGCCUUCAGACGGAGAAGCUGGGGGGUCCACGGCCGGAUCGGGAGACUCGUUUCUACCCAGUGCGCCCACCAGUCUCUGGGGGACCCUGAGCACGUUCCUGUCCGACUUUGGGUCCCCGUCUCCUAACGAAAACGAUGACAAUGAUAGCCAGCAUUUGUUGAGCACCACUGACACGCUCUUAUCUAAGACUGACAGCAGCCUGGCAGAGAGGGAAACUGAGGCUCAGAGAGGGGAUGCAGCCUCCCACGGUCACCCAGGCAGUAAGCAGAAGACCUGGAGCUCGAGCCCCGGUCUGGGCUGGCUGUGGGGCCCACGUCUCCAGCUGCUUUGCUACACAGCUUGCAGGGCCGUCUCACCCUCAUAGUGAGGGAAAGCUCCUAUAAUCCCACCUCGCGGGGGAGGAAACUGAGGCUCAGAGAGCGCAGCGACGUGCCCGGGGUCUGCCUCCCAGUCGCACUGGGCUUCCUUCCUUUUCUCACUUGAGCUGAUUUCCUCCUGCCUCAGGGCCCUUGCACCUUCUGUUCCCUCUGCCUCUGCCCUUUGCCAAGUCGGCGAGGUUCAUCCUACGGGUCUCACCUCAAAGGCUGCUUUUUCAGGAAGCCCACUGUGACCCAGACCAGACUCCACUGGCCCUGGGGAACUGGCUGUGGGCUUUCCAUCUGCCGCUGUAACGUGCUGCUGUGUAACAAGCACAAUGUGGUACUAACAUGGCAGCCAGCUAUCAGCACAGUUUCCAAGGGUGGGAGGUGCGGGGGGCUCGGCACCUCUCUGCUCAGGGUCCCCGAAAGCUUAGCCCGAGGUGCCACAGGCUGCGCUCCCGUCCCAAGGCUCCGGGGCACCGACUCCUGCUCACUGGGGUUGUUGAGAGCGCAGCACGCGGCCCGGGGCCCCUGGCCUCCCUUGUCACCCGGCCGUCUUCGUCUCGCUGGCUCUCUCCGUUCUCGUCCGCUUUUCCUCCUGAGGUGUGACCGACGGGUAACAUCAGAUAUGCGUCCUCUUCCGCUUUUCAGGCUCUUUCUGAUGACACUGGCCCCACCUGGAGAGUCCGGGGUGAUCUCUCCAUGAGGUCAGCUGCUUGGGUCGCUGAGUCCCGGGCGUCACGCCCAGCGCGGUGGCUGCAGGGAACAGCACCGCAGCGCAUGUGGAAAAGCAGCUGAGGGCAGAGCCUGAAGUCCUCACCACAGGGAAAAAGCAGAACGUGUUAUAACCGUGUCCGUGAGGGAUGUCAGCUUUCAGACUUACUGUGGUGAUCGCUUCACAGCGCACACAAACAGCGAACCGUGAUGUCCCACACCUGAAACUAACACAACGUCAGGUGUCAGUUAUACCUCAAUGGAAAUAAGGAAUGGAUCAGUCAAAAUAAACAAAGAUUUCCUCGAUAAAAACUGAAACGUCCACAACUAGAAGGACCUGCAACUAAAAUUUACAACUACGCACUGGGGGCCUUUGGGGAGAGAAGAAGAAGAAGGAAAAAAACACUCGAAACAUCAAAUGAGUAGAAAUCGAAAAAAAAAACCCCACCAUCUUUAAAUGUUCCUUAAACGUGGGUCACUCCAAUUUGCUUUGCAUUUCACUUAUUCUAUGAUUUCUCACGGGUUUCUUUAUCUUCUUUCCUGCCCACGUGACGCCACAGCCCUAUGACCCUCCAAUCCAUGCAUAUGAAACUGUCACAUAUACCAACUUUCCUAAUGUUUAAAAUUAGGAAAAAAAAUAAAAUCUAGUGUGAUCUGUGGAAA